rnacentral:rRNA from 1 species
AUGAACGCUGGCGGCGUGCCUAAUACAUGCAAGUCGCGCGAACGGACGAGAAGCUUGCUUCUCUAAUGUUAGCGGCGGACGGGUGAGUAACACGUGGAUAACCUACCUAUAAGACUGGGAUAACUUCGGGAAACCGUAGCUAAUACCGGAUAAUAUUUUGAACCGCAUGGUUCAAAAGUGAAAGACGGUCUUGCUGUCACUUAUAGAUGGAUCUGCGCUGCAUUAGCUAGUUGGUAAGGUAACGGCUUACCAAGGCAACGAUGCAUAGCCGACCUGAGAGGGUGAUCGGCCACACUGGAACUGAGACACGGUCCAGACUCCUACGGGAGGCAGCAGUAGGGAAUCUUCCGCAAUGGGCGAAAGCCUGACGGAGCAACGCCGCGUGAGUGAUGAAGGUCUUCGGAUCGUAAAACUCUGUUAUUAGGGAAGAACAUAUGUGUAAGUAACUGUGCACAUCUUGACGGUACCUAAUCAGAAAGCCACGGCUAACUACGU